rnacentral:tRNA from 1 species
GACCCCAUCGUCUAGAGGCCCAGGACGCAGCUCUCUCAGGGUUGAAACCGGGGUUCGAAUCCCUGUGGGGUCA